rnacentral:rRNA from 1 species
ACUCCUACGGGAGGCAGCAGUGGGAAUAUUGGACAAUGGGGGAAACCCUGAUCCAGCCAUGCCGCGUGUGUGAAGAAGGCCUUCGGGUUGUAAAGCACUUUCAGUGGGGAGGAAAGGUUGAUGGUUAAUACCUAUCAGCUGUGACGUUACCCACAGAAGAAGCACCGGCUAACUCCGUGCCAGCAGCCGCGGUAAUACGGAGGGUGCAAGCGUUAAUCGGAAUUACUGGGCGUAAAGCGUGCGCAGGCGGUCUGUUAAGCGAGAUGUGAAAUCCCCGAGCUUAACUUGGGAAUUGCAUUCGAUACUGGAUGGCUAGAGUAUGGGAGAGGAUGGUAGAAUUCCAGGUGUAGCGGUGAAAUGCGUAGAGAUCUGGAGGAAUACCGAUGGCGAAGGCAGCCAUCUGGCCUAAUACUGACGCUGAGGUACGAAAGCAUGGGGAGCAAACAGGAUUAGAUACCCUGGUAGGCUCUGCU